GUGGAGAUUCGAAAAAGGCGUGAUUGAGGGUUGUCAGAUUGGUGACUUAGACUUUGCCGGGUGGCAACCACGCCAAUGGGCUUGGCACGCGAUUAGCAUCCAGAAGAGAGGGGAGUGAGAAAGUGAGAGAGCUUCGGGCGCGAGAGCAGGAUAUUACGUAUACGCUGCAGGAGGGCGUGUUACAAGCCGAAACGAAACGAAAACGAAAUCGAAAUCGAAACCAAGUCAAUGCCUCUCUCUCUGUGACAUUGACAGUGCUCGGUGGCCCCUGCGGAUGCCCCCCUCCACCCCCACUCCUCCCUUGCUCCAUGCUACGUCGGAAAUACGAGCCCACUUCGUGUCCUUCGCAAUGGGGCUGCCAUCCGCUCGCUGAAGCAGCGGGAGCUGUGGAAGCUGCGGAAGAGUGCUUCCUCUUGCUCGCGACAGAGGCGGCUCCAUGGCUGCCUGGCAGUGCCAUUCGGUGGCUCAUCGAAUUCAGUCCGCAGAGCGCGCUCCGUUCCGUUCGUUUUGCUCGCUCCGUGCCGUUCAGAGUCCUGUUCGGUUCUGCUCGCUCGCACCCGCAUCCGCAUCCGCAUCUGCAGGAGCUGCCAGGCGUCCAGAGCCAGAGAGCCAGCAAUGCGCAGCAGUCAAUACAAGCCCAUCAACUGCCUGGGGAAGCGAACAGAGGGAAAAGCGGCCAGCAAGCGGACCCAGCCUGUUCAGGAAAACGCAAUCCAUCCACAAUCCAAACAAUAGCACAGCCCAGACACUUGCAUCCCGGCCAGAUGCACUAGAGACCACCGGAGCACUGAGCACCGGAUCCCAGCGAACUUCAGGAUCUAGUAGUCCACGAGCCAUGAUGCCCAGUCGCGUCAAACUGAAACGCGGCACGGACGGACCGACGCCCACGGCCACGCCCGCGCCCAUGCCUAUCACAAUGCCAAAGCAAACGCCAAUCGCCACUUUGAACACUGCCAGCUGCCAGCACAAUAGCACAACAAGUAGACGAAAGCCAACCCUCACCCCUCCAAGCGGGCCCAUCUCGCUGCUCCUUUUCACAGUACUGACCCUGCUGAUCCUGGACACCAGAUCCUGCCAGGGCCUCCGACUAACCAACGGAGGCGGCAGCCUGAGCAAGGGCGCGGCGGCCAACAAGGAGCAGCUCAACAUCGGCCUGAUCGCGCCGCACACGAACUUCGGAAAGCGCGAGUACCUGCGCAGCAUCAACAACGCGGUCACCGGAUUAACGAAGACGCGCGGCGCCAAGCUGACCUUUCUCAAGGACUACUCCUUCGAGCAGAAGAACAUCCACUUCGACAUGAUGUCGCUGACGCCAAGCCCGACGGCAAUCCUAAGCACACUGUGCAAGGAGUUCCUCCGCGUGAACGUCUCCGCAAUCCUGUACAUGAUGAACAACGAACAGUUCGGGCACAGCACGGCCUCGGCACAGUACUUUUUGCAGCUUGCCGGCUACCUGGGCAUCCCGGUUAUCUCGUGGAACGCCGACAACUCGGGUUUGGAACGACGGGCCUCGCAAUCGACGCUCCAGCUACAGCUGGCUCCAAGCAUCGAGCACCAAAGCGCCGCAAUGCUGAGCAUCCUGGAGCGCUACAAGUGGCACCAGUUCUCGGUGGUCACGUCGCAGAUAGCCGGCCACGAUGACUUCGUGCAGGCGGUGCGGGAGCGCGUGGCUGAGAUGCAGGAGCACUUCAAGUUCACCAUCCUAAACUCGAUCGUGGUCACCCGCACCAGCGACCUCAUGGAACUGGUUAACAGUGAGGCCCGGGUGAUGCUGCUGUAUGCUACGCAGACCGAGGCCAUCACCAUCCUGCGCGCCGCUGAGGAGAUGAAGCUCACCGGAGAAAACUACGUCUGGGUAGUCAGCCAGUCGGUCAUAGAAAAGAAGGAUGCCCACUCCCAGUUCCCCGUCGGCAUGCUUGGCGUGCACUUCGACACCUCCAGUGCGGCGCUCAUGAACGAGAUCUCUAACGCAAUCAAGAUCUACAGCUACGGCGUGGAGGCCUACCUAACGGAUCCAGCUAACCGGGACCGCCGCCUCACCACUCAGUCUUUGUCCUGCGAGGACGAGGGACGCGGUCGCUGGGACAACGGAGAAAUCUUCUUCAAGUACUUGCGCAACGUGUCCAUCGAGGGCGACCUUAACAAGCCGAACAUCGAGUUCACGGCGGACGGGGACCUGCGCUCGGCGGAGCUCAAGAUUAUGAACCUCCGGCCCAGCGCCAACAACAAGAACCUUGUGUGGGAAGAGAUUGGAGUGUGGAAGUCCUGGGAGACGCAGAAGCUGGACAUCCGCGACAUUGCGUGGCCCGGCAACUCGCACGCCCCGCCCCAGGGCGUGCCGGAGAAGUUCCAUUUGAAGAUCACAUUCCUCGAAGAGGCACCCUAUAUCAAUCUGUCGCCUGCGGACCCGGUGAGUGGCAAGUGCCUGAUGGACCGUGGUGUGCUCUGCCGGGUGGCGGCCGACCACGAGAUGGCCGCCGACAUCGACGUGGGCCAGGCACACCGCAACGAGUCCUUCUACCAGUGCUGUAGCGGCUUCUGCAUAGACCUGCUGGAGAAGUUUGCCGAGGAGCUGGGCUUCACCUACGAGCUGGUGCGGGUCGAAGAUGGUAAAUGGGGUACCCUCGAGAAUGGCAAGUGGAACGGCCUGAUCGCCGACCUGGUCAACCGCAAGACGGACAUGGUCCUCACCUCGCUGAUGAUCAACACGGAACGCGAGGCGGUCGUCGAUUUCUCUGAGCCCUUCAUGGAGACCGGCAUCGCCAUCGUGGUGGCGAAGCGCACUGGCAUCAUCUCGCCCACGGCUUUUCUGGAGCCCUUCGACACAGCCUCCUGGAUGCUGGUGGGCAUAGUGGCCAUCCAGGCGGCCACCUUCAUGAUCUUCCUCUUCGAGUGGCUCUCGCCCAGCGGCUACGACAUGAAGCUCUACCUACAGAACACCAAUGUCACCCCGUACCGCUUCUCCCUGUUCCGCACCUACUGGCUGGUUUGGGCCGUGCUCUUCCAGGCCGCCGUCCAUGUGGACUCGCCGCGAGGUUUCACUUCGCGCUUCAUGACCAAUGUGUGGGCCCUCUUCGCUGUGGUAUUUUUGGCCAUAUACACUGCCAACCUGGCCGCCUUCAUGAUAACGAGGGAGGAGUUCCACGAGUUCAGCGGUCUCAACGACAGCCGUCUGGUGCAUCCCUUCUCCCACAAGCCCUCCUUCAAGUUCGGCACCAUCCCGUACAGCCACACGGACUCGACGAUCCACAAGUACUUCAACGUCAUGCACAACUACAUGCGGCAGUACAACAAGACGAGCGUGGCGGAUGGAGUGGCCGCCGUGCUCAACGGCAACUUGGACUCCUUCAUCUACGAUGGCACAGUGCUGGACUAUCUGGUUGCCCAGGACGAGGACUGCCGGCUCAUGACCGUGGGCAGCUGGUAUGCCAUGACGGGGUACGGGCUGGCAUUCAGCCGCAACUCAAAGUAUGUGCAGAUGUUCAACAAGCGGCUGCUCGAGUUCCGAGCGAACGGGGACCUAGAGCGGCUGCGACGCUACUGGAUGACGGGCACGUGCCGUCCGGGCAAGCAGGAGCACAAAUCCUCGGACCCGCUGGCGCUGGAGCAGUUCUUGUCCGCCUUCCUGCUCCUGAUGGCCGGCAUUCUGCUGGCGGCGCUCCUCCUGCUGCUCGAGCACGUCUACUUUAAGUACAUCCGCAAGCGGCUGGCUAAGAAGGACGGUGGCCACUGCUGCGCCCUCAUCUCCCUGUCCAUGGGCAAGUCGCUGACCUUCCGGGGCGCCGUCUUCGAGGCCACCGAGAUCCUGAAGAAGCACCGUUGCAACGACCCCAUCUGCGACACACACCUCUGGAAGGUCAAGCACGAGCUGGACAUGUCUCGCCUCCGUGUCCGCCAGCUGGAGAAGGUCAUGGACAAGCAUGGCAUCAAGGCGCCGCAGCUGAGGCUGGCCUCCUCCUCGGACCUGCUAAACCACCAUCAUCUCAAGGAGCGGCCGCCACUGCUGGGCAACCUGAGUCUCGCCGCCAGCGCCCAAGAUCUAUACAGGUGGUCGUACAAGACGGAAAUCGCCGAGAUGGAGACAGUGCUUUGAAGCGUUUGGAGCACUUGGAGCUGCCCACGGAGAAGCGACUGUUACUCACACUAGACAAACAUUCGCAAUCGAGCCGGAGUGCCAUCCUUCAGCGAGUACGUCUAAUCAAAAUCAACGUUUCAAACAAAAUGUGAACUAAAAGCUUUCGAAAGUUAGGGACGAGAUAGCGAAAGAGAAAUUGAACCCAAAGCGCCUCACGAAAACCGCACACACACUCGAUAGUCAGUAGUAGAUAGUCGAGGAUAGAGAAUCCAGAAUCAACAAUCCACAAUCCAGAAUCAAGAACUAAGCCCAGAUUUGCAGCCCAGAAAAGCCCAGAGAUUGUAUAAAGUUAAACUAAAUGUAAAACAGUAAAACCAAGCAUUAAACUAAGUGGAACACGGGGAGUAACAAGCAAAAAACAAGCAGCCGCCGCACGAGUAUUUCAUAAACAAAGUUUUAAAGAGAAGAUGGGGAGAUCAACCGUUGCAUUUUUGGCGAUUGAACUGUUAAGCGUUAACAUGAAGCAGUAGAGGAAUAGGAGUAGGUCCAACCCAGAGUUGGCCCUGUUUUCAAUAUUUACGAAUCAUAUUCAAGUAAGCGUAUGUCGAAGGCAAACACGAUGACGAGGACGAGAAGAGGCGCCGGUUGUCACGCCCAUUAUUAAAUGUACACAUUAACAGAUUUAUAUGUAUUUACUAUGAUUACGACGAUAUAAAUGUUAUUGCAUAUACACGUACAUAUACAUAUACAUAUACAUUUAAAGAACAAACAAGAAAUAUUUACAUAUGAAUAUACAUAUAUGUAUGUAUCUUAUAUUUUUCUGUUUUUGAUAUAAAAAUUGCUUAUGCGCCGCCAGCAAAAACAAGACGAAAAACCAAAAACCAAAUACACAAGAAGAAUCAAAAGCAAGGCCGAACACGAAAUUUUCAUCUCGCUAGGAGAUUCCCACACGACUAAACAAGGCUUCAUUUUAGUUUCUCCUUCCCGCUUAGCUGCUUUCCUUUGUUUCUUUCACUUUCACUUUCAUUUCGCUUGCUCGCUGAGAGAGAGCCAAGCCCCCGCACACCCGCACCCACACACCACUAUCCUCCAUUAUCCUAGUCAUCCUGGCAAGGAGAAUAGGCAAAUGAGAAAUUCACCCGUUGGAGUGACUCCUGCAUGUGAAAGUCAUGGCAAACUCUCUCCCCUCUCUCUCAACUCUACCACUGCUUACUGCACACCGCCCCUCACCACACACCCACUCACCUAACUACGAGAUAUAAAAAAUAUUUAUAAAUGUGCAUUGUUGUUGUGGCGAGCAAAACAUGCUUAAAUCAGAUUUAAAGUAAACUUGAAAUCGAAUUAAAAAUGUACAAAGGUUAAACGAUUUAAACUAAAAACGCGACGUAAAUAAUUAAUGAGCUAACUGACGAAUCGGAGGAGAUGUAUUGUGUUGGUAUUUAUUUAUGUGUGUCUUCUAAGUGUUUAGCGAUCCUCGAGGAUCACCAAUACUAAAAGCAAGCGCAAAACGUAAAUGUAAACGAAAAAUUGAACUAACUAAUGCAAAUUUAAACAAACUUAAUAUACACUAGACAACCAAACACGCACGGCCGUUUAGCUGUGCGUGUGCUUCUUCGAGACUCUUUUCGUUAACGUAACGCCAUCUCUGUUUGUUUAAGCCGUUAUACAGUUAUACCGUUAUGUUCCACGCACACACCCCACUCGCCGUUCAAAACGACGAGAGCGGUGCGAGCGAGACAGCACUGCAACACAGCACUACAACUAGAACACAAGACGAACGGACUCAUGAACUAACUAGUGACAAAAACGGACAAAAAACAACAAGAACGAAAACAAUGUUAACAGAAAACUAGAAAACAAAACAAAGAAACUUAUUGAGUUUUAUUUGCAAAAGAGUGAUUUUUUGUAGUGGAAAUAUUUUAUACACAAGAUACGGAUGGUUCAAGCGGACGACAUAGCGAAUGUUAAUUAUUACGUAUAUGUAUAUAUUUUUUAAGACAAAUUGUUCAAAUUUAUUAUACGAAUACUACCAAACAAAGCGAGUCGAUACCAAAGCAAAGCCAAAUCGAAAACUGGAAAAUGAUGUUGCAGACAACAAAAUAGUUUUAAUAGAAUGGAGAGGAUGUCGAAGAAGGGAACGAAGGAACGGAGAAGAGAAGUGAAAACAAAACCUUUACGGACAAAUUAAAACAAGUAAAACAAGUUAACAUUACAUUAUAUAAGUAGUUAGUAAUUUAAAACUAAACCCAAAGAAAAUAAGCUAAACAUCACGACAAAUGAUAAAAGCAUUCAAAAAAAAGGUUUAUGUAUACAAAAAGAUGUUUUUUUUAAUAUAUUAUUAAUGUUACUAAGUUACGAGUGCGAAUAACGAGCGUGCACACAGUCACACUGUCCAGACACCCACACCAACACGAAUAACGAGUGCAUUUUGUUAGAUGUUAAACAUAUGUAUGUAGCAAGCUGAGGAGAACAGAAACCAAAUCACAAGCAUCAAUUGAAGUCGAAUCAAUUUUUAAACGCAAAGAUAUGUACACCUCCCCGUGCAUAACGCAUAACGAGGGACAGAAUUCGAAUCUCAAUCCAAAAACAAAACAAAAGUCGGUCGCCAGCUCCUGUCCCCCGUCAGCACGUGAGCGAAGGAGGGAGCGGGACAGGACGGCACGGCACGACGACCGAUCGUAUUUCAAGUUACUAACACAACACAAUUUUUUAACCACGCCAGAGGAUCGAGAGAAGCGUUUCACGUACUAAUCUAAGCAAAUGGAAUAUGCGUACAUUGUUGUGGUAGUUACAGAUGGCGAGGAGCAUACACGUAAUUAAAAUAUAAACAAACUUGCAAUAAAUGUGUAUACAAAAGGUA
rnacentral:misc_RNA from 1 species